rnacentral:rRNA from 1 species
GGCUUAACACAUGCAAGUCGAGCGCCCCGCAAGGGGAGCGGCAGACGGGUGAGUAACGCGUGGGAAUCUACCCAGCUCUACGGAAUAACUCAGGGAAACUUGUGCUAAUACCGUAUACGUCCGAGAGGAGAAAGAUUUAUCGGAGUUGGAUGAGCCCGCGUUGGAUUAGCUAGUUGGUGGGGUAAAGGCCUACCAAGGCGACGAUCCAUAGCUGGUCUGAGAGGAUGAUCAGCCACACUGGGACUGAGACACGGCCCAGACUCCUACGGGAGGCAGCAGUGGGGAAUAUUGGACAAUGGGCGCAAGCCUGAUCCAGCCAUGCCGCGUGAGUGAUGAAGGCCCUAGGGUUGUAAAGCUCUUUCACCGGUGAAGAUAAUGACGGUAACCGGAGAAGAAGCCCCGGCUAACUUCGUGCCAGCAGCCCGCGGUAAUACGAAGGGGGCUAGCGUUGUUCGGAAUUACUGGGCGUAAAGCGCACGUAGGCGGACAUUAAGUCAGGGGUGAAAUCCCGGGGCUCACCCCGGAACUGCCUCUGAUACUGGGUGUCUAGAGUCCGAGAGAGGUGAGUGGAAUUCGAGUGUAAAGGUGAAU